rnacentral:tRNA from 1 species
GGUCGCCAAGUGGUAAGGCAAGAGUCUGCAAAACUCUUGGUCCGCCCAGAAGGAUUCGAACCUUCGACCG